rnacentral:rRNA from 1 species
GUGCCAGCCGCCGCGGUAAGACAGAGGGGGCAAGCGUUGCUCGGAAUCACUGGGCGUAAAGGGCGCGUAGGCGGGAAGCCAAGUCGGUCGUGAAAUCUCCGGGCUCAACCCGGAGGAGUCGGCCGAAACUGGUUUUCUUGAGGGAGGCAGAGGAGUCUGGAAUUCCCGGUGUAGCGGUGAAAUGUGUAGAGAUCGGGAGGAACACCGGUGGCGAAGGCGGGACUCUGGGCCUACCCUGACGCUGAGGCGCGAAGGCGUGGGGAGCAAACGGGAUUAGAUACCCCCGUAGUCC